rnacentral:rRNA from 1 species
GACGAACGCUGGCGGCGUGCUUAACACAUGCAAGUCGAACGGGCCUUGUCCCCUUUUUUUUGGGGGUGGGGUUAGUGGCGAACGGGUGAGUAACACGUGAGUAACCUGCCCCUCACUUCUGGAUAACCGCUUGAAAGGGUGGCUAAUACGGGGUGUUCUGGCCUGCUCGCAUGGGUGGGUUUGGAAAGAUUCGGCCGGUUUUGGUUGUUUUGGUGGGGGAUGGGCUCGCGGCCUAUCAGCUUGUUGGUGGGGUGAUGGCCUGCCAAGGCUUUGACGGGUAGCCGGCCUGAGAGGGUGGGCGGUCACACUGGGACUGAGACACGGCCCAGACUCCUACGGGAGGCAGCAGUGGGGAAUAUUGCACAAUGGGCGCAAGCCUGAUGCAGCGACGCCGCGUGAGGGAUGGAGGCCUUCGGGUUGUGAACCUCUUUCGCCAGUGAAGAAGGUCCUGCUCUUUGUGGUGGGGUUGACGGUAGCUGGGUUAAUGAAGCGCCGGCUAACUACGUG